AUCGAGCCUCGAUUGAAAAAUCGAGGCUCAAUACCGGAGGGAGCCUGGGGCGAGCGAGGGUAAUCAUGUUCUGGCAUGUUCGUCGUGAACUCAGUACUUUUUUUAAAUUUUAAAAAGAACGCGAGAGGGGGAAAGAAUAUUUUUACGCUGCUAAGGAGGUGGAGGAAAUGAUUGUAAGAACCACCAAUUGCAAAGAUAAGUCUGUCAUCAGUGCAAUGAAGUUACCGAGAGGGAUCCUUUGUUAAUAUCAGCUGUACAGCAUCCGGGAUUCCAGAGCCAGAUGUCACAUGGACCAGAGAAGGAACAGUGAUAAGUUCAAGAAAGGGAACGGCAUUUCUGAUCUUGAACAGUAAAAGAAGAAAGCCGUCUUUUAUAUCAUAAAAUAAGAAAAAAAGGCGCUGAGUGCAUAGUCGAGUUGUAGAAGAACACGGAAUCUUUUCAGGAAACGAGAGAAGUGCUAGAGAAGCACAAGCCGUAGGCGAACACCUCUCGUACUUCUCGAACGUUUUUAAAAGAUACUAAGUGCUUCUGUAACUCAGCAGUGCACGAAGAACAAGUUUUUCACUUCCUCAUGAAAUAGUAACUUAUAAACUCGUUUGUGAACAGAACUUGAUAAAUGAACAUCGAUUCUUUUUUAUAUAUCUUUUGUGCUUGGAGGCAUGUUCAUGUUUAUCUGUACCGAAAGCGAGUGCAUAUCACAGCUGCUGAACAUGCCACCGAGCAUUUCGUUGCGACUGCACAGUCACCAAUAUUCUAAAAACUUCAAACCAACAAAAGAUAAUACUGAGGGUAGAACUUUCUUUUAGGCUAUUGCUUCAGAACAAUUUCAUCACUUUCAAUUUCAACGUCUUCGGUCAGUUCGCUGACGUCUCAGAGGUUGGUUCGCCAACAUAUUAAAAAUGAAUUUUUGAAUAUAUGAAAAUCAUAUAUGUGUAUUACGGUUUCAUGAUAUGUAUGAAAGCGAUUCACGCAGUAAUAAACCUUACUUAUGUAGAAGGGAAAAUAAGGCGUGAAAAAAUUCAGGCCCGUAGGGAUUUGAACCAAUAACCUCUGCGAUACCGGUGCACGAUUUGUUUUUGCCAUCUGGUUAGUUAUUAUAUGAGGAUAGGGCUUUCUGGACUACUCACCGAGCGAAAUAAAGCAAACUUAAUGCAAUUUAUUGAUUGAUAAAGUAAGAUUGUAACUCAAAAGAUUUAAAAGAAGAGUCACUUGUCACAACAAAUGGCUCAUAGGGAUGAAAACAACCAAUGAGUGUAGUAAAACGAAAGGCGCAAUCAAAAGCUUGAUAUCAGGAAAACCUUGUAUAUCUUCUCAGGCUCGGCCAUAUAAUCCCACUAGGUCUGAAAAAUUAUUCAUAGUGAUACUGUACGUUAUCUAUUCAUCACUUUAUGAUUUUUCAAUAGGAUUUCAAAAUGAUACGACAAUCUCGUGUUUUCAUUUACUCUCGGUUAAGAAGCCGAGUCCACCAUCCAUUAUUUCAUCAGAAAAAAGCACUCAAACCAGUUCAUUAACAGUAAGAUAUGCUGCACCUGCCGAUGAUGGAGGGAGUCCUAUCACCGCAUACUGAGUGAUCAUACUUGAAGGUGACACUGAGAUAAACAGUGUUAAUAUUACUGUUCCUGGUGUAACAAGUUACACUUUUGGGGGUCUGGAGAGAGAUAAAAACUACGGAGUGAAAGCGUUUGCAAGGAAUGCUGUGUUUGAAGGAGAUCCUGUUGUAAUCACCAUGAAGAAAAAGUUUCAAGCUCGAGAGGACUUUAAGUGUCAUGACGUCAUUUUUAUAGCCAUACUUGGACUACUUUCGUCAGUACUCCUGUUUUUCAUUUACAUUGUCUGGUUACUUAAGAAAGGCGGUGGUGGAAAAAAGAGGAAGAUAUUGAGUUCGAAGACCUGGAAUUAAGUGGUCCUGAUUCAAAAAACUGCUCAGCGUCCGGGAGAGUACAUGGAUUUAAAAUAAUCAAGCACCGAUGAUUCUCAAACACAAACUGCUGGCCAAGUUGCUGAUUACGCGCCACUUCAUCCAUCAACAUGCUCCUGGGAAGUGUCAAGGGAUCAUGUGACAGUAGAAAACAUGGAUGGCAAGGGGGCUUUCGGCCAGGUUGCAAAGGGAACAGCCAAGGAACUUCGAGGGAGGCCCGGGACGACCAAGAUAGCUAUCAAAAUACUCAAGGGGGUAUUGCUGGUGUUGAUUGAGUAUGUACCUUUUGGAGAUCUGCUGGGUUACCUGAGAAAAAGCCGUGGAUUAAGACACUUACUUCAAAGACCCUGAUAGCAAACCACAGACAAAUCUGACGUCACAGCAGCUUAUGAAGUGUUCUUGGCAAAUCACUGAUGGAAUGAGUUAGUUGUCCACAAAAUCUGUAAGUUUUAACUGCAAAACAAACUACAGAAAAGGUAAUCCAAUCUCGGUGUUCAAUGCAAAUAUCUUAGUUUAUAAUUCAGUAGUUUCAUUUCACUGUAACUUUGGUGUCUUCAGUCUUUCGGUUCAUGGUUUUAAACUCAUUGUGAUAGCACGUGUUUGGCAUGAAUCGACUUAGUUGGACUAUUCCUGAUCUUUACCGAAGCAGGAAAUUAUCUCAGAAAAGAAAUAUUCAUUUGCAAUUAUUUCAAUAUCACCUAAUUUUUCUCUUUUCAUUUAAAUCAUCGCAAUCCUGACUACAUUUUUAGUUGGGUGAAUCCUGUGUAUUUUUCCAUUUUACAACUUCUUAAAUGGUAUUACAGAACAAAGAUUGAUUCACUUGAGAUAGAAAUCAUCAUCUUUGAUUGAUUAUCAUUUCCUGUGAUUAGAACAUCCACCGAGACCUUGCAGCCCGUAAUGCGUUGGUUGGGGAAAAACGAUUAUUAUAGGAUCAACUUAAACCUAUUUAAUAUUUACAAUCAUAAAUUAAAAUAGUAAAACAUUCUAGUCAGUAUACACUUAAAACUUAAAGUAAUGUAAAAUUACGGAAGGCGUGCCUUCGCCCGGUUUUUUAAAUAUUUAAAUAAACACGAUGUAAAAAUAUGCAAGUCGUCACAGAUUUUCAAUUCCUUUGGUAGAUUAUUAAAUAAAACGGCCGAGGUGUCUUGAAAGGUCUCCUUUUCUAAAGGAACCUGCAGUCUAAUACAGUCUGAUGAGCGCAGUUCUCUACGUUUAGGGACUCGUUGUAAGUUCAGAUAUGUUGGCCACUGUUUAAAAUAAAGCGCUUUAAAGGUCAAAUUUAGCAAGUUAAAAUCCCUUCUUUCUUCCGCAAGAAGCCAAUUUACCUUUAAAAUGUCUCCAAUGUUAUUAACAUAUCUACCAUAAACAAAACUUGCGGCAGCAAACUCAAUGUUUUGAAGGCGCUUCAGCAAGUAUCGCGGCAAAGGUUUUAAUUCUACGUUUUUCCUGUCGGAAGAAAAUAUACAUUGUUUUCAGUUGGUUCACCAUAUCCACGGAUGGCUGGCAGGGAAAAUGCAAGAUCACUCCAGCAGGAGUACAGAAUGCCUGGGCCAUGCCUACAGAAUGCCUAAGCCAUGCCUACAGCAUGCCUAAGCCAUGCCCACAGCAUGCCUACACCCCAACAUGUGGAUGAUAAGUUGUAAGCUGUUGAUAGGAUCUCUUUUCGUCGAAAUUGCAAGCAAAGGGCGAGCUUCUGUCAACCAUGACUUGUCUUUUCCCCAUUCAAAGGAGUAUUUCGCUUAAUGAUAGUUACAGCCGCAUCUAAUAUCAAAGCUAAAAGUUUCUUUAGAAGAAAACAUUGAUUUCUUAGUAUGUUUGUUUGUUUGUUUGAAUGUUUGUUAAACGUUUUCCAAUUCAUAAAUACCAGGUACCAGAUAAUGAUGAGAUGCUGGCAAAAUGACCCGGAUGGUAGACCGACAUUUACCGAAAUGAGGAACCAGCUUAAGGACAUGGAAACCCUACACAAGAGGCUGAUCAACAUGGAAAUGUAUGACAAGUAUUUGUAUGCAAACUCUGGUGAUUGCUCAUCUCAGCUGAUUGGGAGUGAAAUUCCUGAUGAAGCUACACUACCAUUGAAGUUGAACGAAUUUCUUGGCGGCCUAACGGCUCAUCUUCGCCCAUUAAAGCCUCUUUUACCGGUAUUUGGACCGGUGCCUGUGCACCUGUAUGCGUGCAUAACAUUCCUCGAGCGAAGUCACUCUUCUUCCGACCUAUUACGAAAGUUAGUGCCGCGUUGUUCAUUCACAAGACCAUAUGCCCUUAGGACAGGAGAGAUUGUGUCUGUACCUGCCUCUCCAAGAUCUAAAGGAUUCGGAAAUUAUGCGCCAUCAAAUACCAGAACCACGUUUAAAAUACCGAAUUACGAUUCGUCUUAAUACUCAUAGUAUUUAAUAUUUACAUAGUAUUCAAUAUUUACAUUUAAUUGAUAUCUAUAAUGGCUAUAUUUAGGUGUAAAGUAAGAAGUAUUUGUAAUUAGUGACCCGUCUUGUAAUUCAGUGUAUGCUGCAAAAAAGUUGAAUAAACGAUCAUUAUUAUUAUUAUUAUUAUUAUUAUUAUUAUUAUUAUUAUUAAACGUUGAUGACCUAAACGUGUAGACAAAAUGGAAUUCGCGAAUUUCUCGCACAUUUUCGUACGCAGUAUCUUAAUCUUAAUUAAUCAUGCAUAAUAUCUCACUCGCAAUUAUCUUGCAACACAAGCUUGUUUGAAAAAGACUGGAAUUCACUCAAAUGAAUCCAUCAGACAAAAGUGCGCAAAAUCGCAUUCAGAUCAUAAACCAUCCUGGUGAUAACAAAG